rnacentral:rRNA from 1 species
GACGAACGAGGGUGGGGGGAGGAAAAAGGAAAGGCGCAGGGAAAGGCCCCCUUGUGGGGUAGGAGAGGGGCGAACGGGUGAGUAACACGUGAGUAACCUACCCUUGACUUUGGGAUAACUUCAGGAAACUGGGGCUAAUACCGGAUAGGAGCUCCUGCUGCAUGGUGGGGGUUGGAAAGUUUCGGCGGUUGGGGAUGGACUCGCGGCUUCUCAGCGUGUUGGUGGGGUAGUGGCUCACCAAGGCUUUGACGGGGAGCCGGCCUGAGAGGGUGACCGGCCACAUUGGGACUGAGAUACGGCCCAGACUCCUACGGGAGGCAGCAGUGGGGAAUAUUGCACAAUGGGCGGAAGCCUGAUGCAGCAACGCCGCGUGCGGGAUUCCCUCCUUCGUGUUGUAAACCGCUUUCGCCUGUUACUCAGCGUGAGUGACGGUCAUGGGUAACGAAGCCCCCGCUCCCUACGUC